AUGAACGCUGGCGGCGUGCCUAAGACAUUGCAAGUCGAGUGGGUUUAGACCCACGGCGAACGGGUGAGUAAUAUCCUAGAGAACUUCCCUUUAGUUGAGCAUAACCCAUCGAAAGGUGGGAUAAUUCUCGAUGUGACCGCAAGGUUAAAGUUCGCAAGACGCUAAAGAAAAGGCCUGGGCACCAUCAGCUAGUUGGUAAGGUAAAGGCUUACCAAGGCUAUGACGGUUAGGGGCCCCGAGAGGGGAAACCUCCACACUGGAACUGCGAUCACGGUCCAGACUCCUACGGGAGGCAGCAGUUUGGAAUUUUGGACAAUGGGCGAAAGUCUGAUCCAGCGACGCCGCGUGGACGAUGAAGGCCUUCGGGUUGUAAAGUCCUUUUGUUAGGGAAGAAUUUUUGACUGUACCAUAGCGAAUAAGAGGUUGCUAACUCUGUGCCAGCAGCAGCGGUAAUACAGAGACCUCAAGCGUUAUCCGGAAUCAUUGGGCGUAAAGCGUACCGAUAGGUGGUUUAGAUAGUCAGAUGUGAAAUUCCAAGGCUCAACCUUGGGACUGUCAUUUGAAACUUCUAGACUAGAGGGGCAAAGAGGAAGCUGGAACGAACGGUGUAGUAGUGAAAUGCGUUGAUAUCGUUCGGAACACCAAUAGCGAAGGCAGGCUUCUGGGUGCCACCUGACACUGCUAGGACGAAAGCGUGGGGAGCGAAGGGGAUUAAAUACCCCCGUAGUCCACGCUGUAAACGAUGUACAUUUGGUACUAGGGAGUAUCGACCCUCUUUAGUACCAAAGCUAACGCGUUAAAUGUACCGCCUGGGGAGUACGCUCGCAAGGCUAAAACUCAAAGGAAUUGACGGGGACCCGCACAAGCGGUGGAGCAUGCGGUUUAAUUCGAUGGUAAGCGAGGAACCUUACCAAGGCUUGACAUGUACCUGCAUAUGUUAGAAAUAGCAUAGCCUUCGAGGGUGGUACACAGGUGCUGCACGGUUGUCGUCAGCUCGUGCCGUGAGGUGUUCACUUAAGUGUGAAAACGAGCGCAACCCCUAUCAUGAGUUACAAGUGUCUCAUGAAACUGCCCGGCGUUUAAGCCGGAGGAAGGCGGGG
rnacentral:rRNA from 1 species